rnacentral:rRNA from 1 species
AUUGAACGCUGGCGGCAUGCCUUACACAUGCAAGUCGAACGGUAACAGGUUAAGCUGACGAGUGGCGAACGGGUGAGUAAUGUAUCGGAACGUGCCCAGUCGUGGGGGAUAACUGCUCGAAAGAGCAGCUAAUACCGCAUACGACCUGAGGGUGAAAGCGGGGGAUCGCAAGACCUCGCGCGAUUGGAGCGGCCGAUAUCAGAUUAGGUAGUUGGUGAGGUAAAGGCUCACCAAGCCGACGAUCUGUAGCUGGUCUGAGAGGACGACCAGCCACACUGGGACUGAGACACGGCCCAGACUCCUACGGGAGGCAGCAGUGGGGAAUUUUUGGACAAUGGGCGCAAGCCUGAUCCAGCCAUGCCGCGUGCGGGAAGAAGGCCUUCGGGUUGUAAACCGCUUUUGUCAGGGAAGAAAAGGUUCUGGCUAAUACCUGGGACUCAUGACGGUACCUGAAGAAUAAGCACCGGCUAACUACGUGCCAGCCGCCGCGGUAA